rnacentral:sRNA from 1 species
CCCUGCUGCCCUCGAUGGGCGUUUCCUCCCUAGACUUCGGGCCGCUCGCAAGGGCGGCCUUUCUUUCGUCCGGC